rnacentral:lncRNA from 1 species
UGUUUACAUAUGCAAGGCUAUUAAGUACAAAAUCAUCUAUAUUAUAUUGCACAUAAAAUCCACAAUGUUGACAAUAACUCAUACGAACCAGUUGUACGACCACUGGCAUACAAGGAAAGAACAGCCUGGAUGGCAACAUACAUUGCGGGCACAUUAAAGGUCUCGAACAUGAUUUGAGUCAUCUUCUCUCUGUUGGCCUUAGGGUUGAGAGGGGCCUCAGUGAGAAGCACUGGAUGCUCCUCAGGGGCAACACGAAGCUCAUUGUAGAAAGUGUGAUGCCAGAUCUUUUCCAUAUCAUCCCAGUUGCUGACAAUACCAUGCUCAAUUGGGUAUUUCAAAGUCAGAAUACCUCUUUUAGAUUGUGCUUCAUCUCCAACAUAGGCAUCCUUCUGACCCAUCCCAACCAUUACACCAGUGUGUCUGGGUCUUCCAACAAUACUAGGAAACACUGCCCUGGGAGCAUCAUCACCGGCAAACCCAGCCUGCAGAAGAAGUCUUCACCGUCAGAAAAUGGAGCAACAGAAAAAGGCCGAAUUUUAAUAAUAGGAAAAGAAUUAACCUACCUUCACCAUUCCAGUUCCAUUGUCACAGACAAGGGGCUGAAUAUCCUCAGCAUCGGCCAUUUUUUAAGAAGCUGCAUAAACAUGCAGAAUAAUGAGAGCAAGAAAUAAAGAGUAUAAACACACGCGCGAGCAUCUGCAUUCUUGCUUUCUAACGCCAUCUUCAUGAUCAAAAGAUUCAUUAACAAUUAACCAACAAUUCCAUGUUUUUUUAAUACAACCCAUCCAUCAAAUCCCGUAAUUCUCAGUCAAUUUACAAAAAUCAUUUGUACAGUCGGAUGAAAAAAUUGCCACACCUACUACCCAAUAUCAGGCUCAACAGCUAGGAAAAUGAUAAUAAAACAGUACUCAAUACUAAUUUUCAAUUGUCGUAUAAAACUAGAAAAAUAUUUUUGCUAAUGGGAUAGAACAAUAUUUAAGAUGAAAAAUUUUAUAUUUCCGGUCCAGUAAAGCAAAUCUGAAGUGGCCGUCAACACAAUCAUUUAUCUUCCAAUAACUUCCCAGUAGUGUUAAUUAACUUUCACUUUCUUCUGCACUUUCAGUUCUAUCGGAAAACACACGCAGCAGUAUAUAGCUAGAUCGGAAAGGGAAAGCAAAUUGAAUAAAACUUUUUUUAACAAAAAAUAGUAAAGCAAAUCCAAAAGAAAAAUGGAGAAUCAGAUCAAAUCGUACAAGAACAGAUCCAGAUAGCAGAACCAGAUCAGGCGAUCAUAGAACACUACGCACUUGAUGAGUGCGAAUGCUAAAACUAACUCUAGAUCACUCCAUCAGUAUUUUAAACAAAAAAGAGAGAAAGAGAGACAAAAUUGUUAGAUCGAAAACACAAAACUCCAAAGAAAAAAAACCAUCAAAGCGACCGAUUUCUUAAAAACGAAAGAAGAACAACACAGUUCGAAGCACAGAAGUGGAAAUCGAACUAAUUAAUAUAGUUAUACAGACAGAUCGAAGCAUACCUUGGUUAGAGAAGAUCGAAGCGCAAAAUAUCAAAACAAACCAAGCCAAUCCACAGAGAUGGCCUGGUCUCUUUAUCGCGUUUCCUUUACGACACGGAGGAGAAGGAGGAGGACGCCGAAAACGAGAAGAAAAUGAGUAGCUAGGAGAGCUAGAGAGGAGGAGUGUGCGUAUAUAUAUAGUAGGGAAUUUUUGAAAUGCAAAUGAAAUUUGGACGAAAUUAAGAAUUAGAGAGAGAGAGAGACAGAGAGAGGAAUCAUUUCGACCACGAUAAAAGAUAGGGUGACCUGGCUGACAGCCUUUUCUACAACUUCCAUGUUCUUGCUAUUGCCUUUGAAUUUACUGAUUCAAUCUCAGCCGUUGGAUUAUUAUAAAUAUUUAUCUAGCUGGGCUUUUCUUGCUUGAUCAGCAUCUGCGGCGCUGUCUUUGGGCCGUUUGAUUCGGGUCGGUCGGUUGGUCAAGGCUCAAGGCCAGGGAAUGAAUGUCUAGCUGUGUACAGUCUUAUCUUUUUCUUCUUCUUUUUUUUUUUUUUUUUUUUAAAACGGUAUACAUUCUCAUCUGAUAAUUUAACAAAUAAGUUUUGAUAGUACGUACAUGUUGUAGAGAAAAUUUUAUUAGAUCUUAGAGGCAUCUUGGUCAUAAUAAUAAUAACAUUAUUUUUUUAAUAUAUGUAAAAAAUAAAAUAAAUAGAAAUUAUAUAAAUGGAAGAAGCAAUUAAUUUUUUGAAAAAUAUAUUCAUGAUUAUCUAUAUGAUUCACUAAAAUUUAUUUUAUUAUUUGUUUCUUUCAAUUAAUAUUGAGAUUAAAGUAAUUAUGAGAGAUAAAAGUAGGUUAAUUACAUUAAAAAUGUUUUACAAUAAUUUAUAAAAUUUAAUUACAUUUUUAAUUAUCAUUAAAAAAAACUUUUAACUCAUAAAUAAAAGUGGGAGCGGAGGUUCGGGAGCAUUCGGCAAAGCCCCCGCCCACCAGUAUGGAAGAUGCUGGGCAUCUGGGUGAACCCACUGCAUUGACGACCAAUGAAUAUAUAGCAUGCAAUUUUAGAACUAUGAGCCAAUCAGGCAAGCCAAUGCUCCGACUUGGUAAGCGGUAACUAUUUGCUUAUGGAAAUUGGGUGUAUAUAAAUUUAUAAUUUAAAAUGAGUGAAAUCUGUAUAAAAUUUUAUAUAUUUAUAAAUUUAUUAUAAAUAAAUGAGGCAAUUGCACUCAACAAACACAAUCAACCACUACAAUAAAUCCACUUCUAUGUGUUCGUAUCAAUACGAUAAUUCUUUUUUCCUACAAUUCUUCAAUUUUUUAAUAUAUUUUUUAGUUGACUAUUUAACUUUAACUUUUUAAUUUUAUUUACUUUAAUUUAAAUAUCAUGACCUAUAAAUGACAAAUAAAUAAAUUAAAACAAGUUAAUUAAAUUGAAAAUAUAUUUAAAGUAAAGACACUGUAGAUAAACAUUAAUCAUUCUUAAUGAGAUUACGCCACCAAAUAUCCUAGUAAGUCACGACUAUCCCCUAUUUUAAAAAUAAAAUUAAUUAAUUUAAUUUAAAAUUAAACUCAAACAGAAAUCCAUUAAAAUAAGAUUUAAAUUCAAUGAUUUACAAUUGAUUUUUAAUAAAUAAAAAAUUAACUCCGAUAAUUAAUUCAUAAAUAACAUUCACUAAAAAGAUCGUCAAGAUAUAUAUAAAAUUCUUUAUUAUAUAAAAUUCUUUAUUAACUAGAGUUUGAUUGUCCUCUCUUCAAAUACUUAUCAAGAAAAAAAAUUUUGAAUUAUAACUUAAUUAUAAGCUCUGAUUAUUGAUUUAAUUUUAAACAAAACAAACAAUAUAAUUUAUUAAUUUAAUGAGUUUGAGAUUUAACUACACUGUUUUUUUUAUUUAUUUUUUUUACCAUGCACAAUGCAUUUUAAAGUAGAGCGAUGCAUUUUAUGUCAUUGUACAAGUGGUACUAGGUUUUGGUUUUUAUUUCUAUGCAAUGCCAUUUCGUUAUCGAAUAUAACAAUUACAAUUAUUUUAUUUUAAAAAACCUGAUUUUGAUAUUAAAAUAGACGAAUAAAAUUUCAUCUACAAGAUCUAAAAGCAUUUAAAAAAAAAAAACAUAAAAUAAAGGAUGAAUUAAUGAAGGCGACGCAACAGCCAGACGAGUGUCGACCAUUGACCAGAGAGUAUGGACUCUUUCUUACUGCAAUAACCUACCUUUCUCCUAUGGAGGCAGCAGGGUCAUGGUAAAAGUUGGAUAUUCCAUCGUCAUCGACGGAUCCAAAGGGGGGCGGCGGGGAGGAGAGGGGCCACCGCCCAAGCCUACCAACGCUUGAAAGUUGAUUCUUUAUACGUAUGCAUUAGACGCUUUUGGAUCAACACAGAAAAUGACAAAACACAGAAAAGAAAAAAGGGUCCUUGCAUCUAUGGCCUAUCAAUAUACAUCUCAUAAUUCAUUCAUUUAUUUAUUUAUUUUAACCAUUUUUAUCAUUAAAGUGAAAAUUCAUACCGGUAUAUUCUUAAUUCUGGAUAAAUAUAGUAAAAAAAAUUAUGAUGUUAUGAUCACCCUAAAAUGUUGGUUUAUUAAUAAUUUUCAUGAAUUAAACUUAUAGUUUUAGAACGUUUUCUUAUUAAAAUGGAAUGAAAAGGAGGUUUCCUGAAACAUUUGAAAGGUAGUUAAUAUUCAUUAUUAGCCUAUACUUUAGACUUUAGAGCCCUGUGAACUUGUGUGAGCUGUUUCCUCGGCGUAGUCCAAAAGUGCUUGCCACGAUUCAGUUUUGGCGGUUUCGGUUUUAUGAUUUGGUAGACUGAAAUUGAAUUAAAUGACCAUUUAGUUUAAAUUUUUGUUUUCGUUUAAUUGAGUUUAACUAACUAUAAAGAUUAAUUGUUUUAAUAUUUUUGCUUUGAACUAAAUCAGUCAAUUUCAGAUUCAGAAGGUGUAACUGGAUCACCAAUACCACUUCCAUCCCUUUCCUCCCCAUGAUUUGAUGUCGUUCGUGUUGAAUAGCAAUGGUCACUCCAACAUGCUCCAUUACGAAGUUCCCUCUUUCUGGGUUUGAAGCCAGCAUUAGUUUUUCUCUAAAGCUUGAGAACUGAUGCUUGCUGAUAUGUAGCUCGUGGUUUUUGGCUUUGAGUUCUUCCUCCCUUUGAAUCGAUUGGUGCACGUAGAGUUGAGUGGAAGCCGAGGUCCCGAAUCCUUACCUGAUUUCGAGUAGCCAGGUUUAGCCUUGGGCUUUUGUAUUCUCAAGCCUAAAUUUGCGUUUAUGUAUUGGGUUUGAACGUUUUUACUUGUGGUUCUAAUGCAUUCAGCCUGAUUGACCUCAUCUUGCAAUGAAUUAUUUCCUUUCGACCCCAAAAACAGAAAAAAAAAAAAAAAAAAAAAAAAAGAAAAAAAUAAAAAUAAAAAGAAAGCGCAUCUAAUCAGCAUCUUCAACGUACGGGAAGGGUACUUGAAGAAAGAAACUUUAAGACGUUUUCUACUAACAUAACAAAGAAAUAGCCAGAGGCAGAUCAGUGAUCCUUUCAAACCAAAUAUUAAAAAUAUAAUUUCCACAAGGUUUAUGACAACUGACGCUAGAUAAAUUUUCACAUACAAUAACUAUUAACAUUAAUGCUCUCACGGAAGAAAAGAGAACUUCAAAUUGAAGAGAAAAUAAAAAUAAUAGUAAUAAUAGUUGUAUAUAAAAAAAUUUUAAAAAAGAAAAAAGCAUCACAAUCACUCUCAUGAUACAAGCAUCCUACAUGAAAACAAAGACAUAGUUUAACCACAAAAUGAUUGCGAGGAAAGUAAUGACUUGAGUACCAAAGUGUCUGCCAAAGCAUUGUCAGAGGGACAUCACAUUUUAAAAAAGGCUUGCAGCAUUGGAUGGAAAGCUAUUUUGAUACAUCACAGCUUUACCCUCCUACGACCAAUCUCAAUACUUCUCCACAUCAAUCAUACUGGAGUUCAAGACACCUUGACACGAAAAAAGCCAACUAAAUGCAAAAAGCAACUCGCCAUCAAGCAUUCUUUAGAACUUAGAAGCACUUCCUGUGGACGAUGGAUGGACCAGACUCAUCAUACUCACCCUUGGAAAUCCACAUCUGAUACAACAUAAUGCAAGCAAUGUUAGUGUUCUGCCAAUUUACACAUAUUCAAGUGGAACUAAAAAGCAUGGCCAUAAAGAUUACCUGCUGGAAGGUGCUGAGAGAUGCAAGGAUAGAUCCUCCGAUCCAGACACUGUACUUUCUCUCCGGUGGUGCUACCACCUUGAUCUUCAUACUGCUUGGGGCAAGAGCAGUGAUUUCCUUGCUCAUACGGUCUGCAAUACCAGGGAACAUAGUGGAACCACCACUGAGCACAAUGUUACCAUAAAGGUCCUUCCUGAUAUCUACAUCACACUUCAUGAUAGAGUUGUAGGUAGUCUCAUGGAUGCCUGCAGCUUCCAUUCCAAUGAGAGAUGGCUGGAAUAGAACUUCUGGGCAACGGAAUCUUUCAGCUCCAAUGGUUAUGACCUGACCAUCAGGAAGCUCAUAGUUCUUCUCAACAGAGGAGCUGCUCUUGGCAGUUUCAAGUUCCUGCUCAUAGUCAAGGGCAACAUAUGCAAGCUUCUCCUUCAUGUCACGGACAAUUUCCCGUUCAGCAGUGGUAGUGAACAUAUACCCUCUCUCAGUAAGAAUCUUCAUCAAAGCAUCAGUGAGAUCACGGCCAGCAAGGUCCAGACGGAGGAUGGCGUGUGGAAGAGCAUACCCUUCAUAAAUUGGGACAGUGUGACUCACACCAUCACCAGAAUCCAGCACGAUACCUGUUAUGCAUGAAAAGCCAUCAAGUGAAAUCAUUCAUAUAAGAACGCAUAGAGCAUCCAUAAUACUGCAAUUAACUUAUACGAACCAGUUGUACGACCACUGGCAUAUAAGGAGAGGACAGCCUGGAUGGCAACAUACAUUGCAGGCACAUUAAAGGUCUCAAACAUGAUUUGAGUCAUUUUCUCUCUGUUGGCCUUAGGAUUGAGAGGAGCCUCAGUGAGAAGCACGGGAUGCUCCUCAGGGGCAACACGA